rnacentral:pre_miRNA from 1 species
GUCCUGUUGAGAAGCUCUACAUUUAUAGGUCCGUCGCUGGUCCAAGGUUUGACAUGCCUGGCUUUGUUUGGACCAUGGAUGAAGAUUCUGCAGUGAG